UACGGAGGGGGCGAGCGUUGUCCGAAGUUACUGGGCGUAAAGCGCGCGUAGGCGGGUUGGCAAGUCCGCUGUGAAAGCCCGGAGCUCAACUCCGGAGGGUCGGUGGAUACUGCCAGUCUUGAAGGUGCUAGGGAGAAGCGGAAUUACAGGUGUAGCGGUGAAAUGCGUAGAUAUCUGUAGGAACACCAGUGGCGAAGGCGGCUUCUUGGGGCAUUCUUGACGCUGAUGCGCGAAAGCUGGGGGAGCGAACGGG
rnacentral:rRNA from 1 species